rnacentral:rRNA from 1 species
AGCAGCCGCGGUAAUUCCAGCUCCAAUAGCGUAUAUUAAAGUUGCUGCAGUUAAAAAGCUCGUAGUUGAAUUUCGGGAUCAUCAUGUCGGUCGUGCCUCGGUACGUACUGGCAUUGUUGGUUUCUACCUUCUGACGAACCAUGAUGUCAUUUAUUUGGUGUCGUGGGAAAUCAGGACUGUUACUUUGAAAAAUUAGAGUGUUUAAAGCAGGCUCACGCUUGAAUACAUUAGCAUGGAAUAAUGAAAUAGGACGUUUGAUUCUAUUUUGUUGGUUUCUAGGAUCGACGUAAUGAUUAAUAGGGAUAGUUGGGGGCAUUAGUAUUCAAUUGUCAGAGGUGAAAUUCUUGGAUUUAUUGAAGACUAACUACUGCGAAAGCAUUUGCCAAGGAUGUUUUCAUUAAUCAAGAACGAAAGUUAGGGGAUCGAAGACGAUCAGAUACCGUCGUAGUCUUAACCAUAAACUAUGCCGACUAGGGAUCGGAUGAUGUUAAUUUUUAAUGACUCAUUC